rnacentral:rRNA from 1 species
CACGGGGGGCGCAAGCGUUAUUCGGAAUUAUUGGGCGUAAAGGGCGCGCAGGCGGCCUUGUCAGUCAGGUGUGAAAGCCCGGGGCUCAACCCUGGAAGUGCACUUGAAACAGCAAGGCUUGAAUACGGGAGAGGAGAGAGGAAUUCCUGGUGUAGAGGUGAAAUUCGUAGAUAUCAGGAGGAACACCGAUGGCGAAGGCAUCUCUCUGGACCGAUAUUGACGCUGAGGCGCGAAGGCGUGGGUAGCGAACGGG